GCCCUACGGGAGGCAGCAGUAGGGAAUCUUCCACAAUGGGCGCAAGCCUGAUGGAGCAACACCGCGUGAGUGAAGAAGGGUUUCGGCUCGUAAAGCUCUGUUGUUGGAGAAGAACGUGCGGGAGAGUAACUGUUCACGCAGUGACGGGAUCCAACCAGAAAGUCACGGCUAACUACGUGCCAGCAGCCGCGGUAAUACGGAGGGGGCAAGCGGUAUCCGGAAUUAUUGGGCGUAAAGCGAGCGCAGGCGGUUGGUUAGGGCUGAUGUG
rnacentral:rRNA from 1 species